rnacentral:rRNA from 1 species
CCUACGGGUGGCAGCAGUGAGGAAUAUUGGUCAAUGGGCUUACGCCUGAACCAGCCAAGUCGCGUGAGGGAAGACUGCCCUAUGGGUUGUAAACCUCUUUUGUCAGGGAGCAAUUGGCGCUACGUGUAGCGUUCUCGAUAGUACCUGAAGAAAACGCCUCGGCUAACUCCGUGCCAGCAGCCGCGGUAAUCCGGAGGAUGCGAGCGUUAUCCGGAGUUAUUGGGUUUAAGGGGUGCGUAGGCGGAAUGCCAAGUCAGCGGUAAAAUCGCGGGGCUCAACCUCGCUCCGCCGUUGAAACUGGCGGUCUUGAGUGGGCGAGAAGUAUGCGGAAUGCGUAGUGUAGCGGUGAAAUGCAUAGAUAUCACGAAGAACUCCGAUUGCGAAGGCAGCAUACCGGAGCCCAACUGACGCUGAAGCACGAAAGCGUGGGUAUCGAACAGGAUUAGAUACCCCUGUAGUC